AGUAACACUCUGGGAGGGCUCAGGCCACAUCACGAAAUGUGACAGGAUAGCCUUGAACUCAUCAAUUGCUGGCAAGGUAAGCUGUCAUCAGUUGGAGGUAAGCAGAAGACAGUAGAGAGUACAGAGCCCUGGACUGUGACUCAGAGGAUGAGCACCAGAUCCAGUUUGCUGUGCCACAGUGUGUAAAAAGCGGGCUUGGAGUAAGCACUGCCUGCAGACCACUUUUGUGAGCCCUCCUUUCAGUGAUGUGAUGGCAAUCCAGGCCCCUGCUGGGAGAGAUUUCUGCCUGGUUAAACCUCUCACAGCUUCUAAUCCUCUCUUUCUCAUCUGGCUUUCCUUAGCCUUCUCCAAAGUCACUCACAGAAGGCAUCCCACUCAACCUCACCUUGGGGUAAAUCAAAAUAGUCCUCCUUCUGAAGCUACCGGGUAAAACGGUGGUAGCUGUGCAGCUGCUGCUGAUCAACAGGCUCCAGAAACAGCAGCAGGAGGUGAGCAGUCCCUGCGUUGGCCACCAAGUGGUAGGUGGCCAGCCCUACCUCCAAGUUGCACUGUUUACUUAUUCAUCUUUCAUGGUAAAGCCUCCAGUUGCCUAUUAUGAAAUCAGCAAUAAUCAUGUGUCCCCUGUCUGGGUCCCUGAAAAGAUGGAAAGAGGCAGAUCAGGCUGGUGCUCUGAGAAUGACAGACAUCAAACAAGAAUGAAAAGUGUCACCCUCCUUGGACUUAUUCAGUAACUCAUGCCCUUGAGCAAAGGAGGAUUUUCUAUCAAAGGACAUGGAUUUCUGUGUCUUUCUCUUGAGAUAACAUUGCUGGGUGACCACAGAAAGCUGGCUCUGGAAGCACAGAAGCUGCCUUUCCUUGAGUAAUAAUGUCUCUUCAAAGGGAGCUGGAGCAUGAGUAGUGUACAUGCCUCAGAUUUCAGUGAAAAGUUCAGAGGAGGCCUGAGAAGAAGGUCCUGGGAAUGAAUCAUCUAGAUGACUCAACCUUGCAAAGCCAUCCACCUCAUUGUGGAUAUCAUUCAAUACAUUUGGUGCUCCAUCAUCCUA
ensembl:lncRNA LINC01193 long intergenic non-protein coding RNA 1193